rnacentral:rRNA from 1 species
AGAACGAACGCUGGCGGCAGGCUUAACACAUGCAAGUCGAGCGCCCCGCAAGGGGAGCGGCAGACGGGUGAGUAACGCGUGGGAACAUACCCUCCGGUUCGGAAUAGCUCAGGGAAACUUGGAUUAAUACCGGAUACGGCCUAGCGGCGAAAGAUUCAUCGCCGGAGGAUUGGCCCGCGUUCGAUUAGCUAGUUGGUGAGGUAACGGCUCACCAAGGCGACGAUCGAUAGCUGGUCUGAGAGGAUGAUCAGCCACAUUGGGACUGAGACACGGCCCAAACUCCUACGGGAGGCAGCAGUGGGGAAUAUUGGACAAUGGGCGCAAGCCUGAUCCAGCCAUGCCGCGUGGAUGAUGAAGGCCUUAGGGUUGUAAAGUCCUUUUAACGGGGAAGAUAAUGACGGUACCCGUAGAAUAAGCCCCGGCUAACUUCGUGCCAGCAGCCGC